AACAUAGCCUUUAGCAAUACAAGUAUUAUGGGUGUAGCCUGCCCAGUGAAAAACUUUUAAACGGCCGCGGUAUCCUAACCGUGCAAAGGUAGCGCAAUCACUUGUCCCCUAAAUAGGGACCAGUAUGAACGGCUCAAUGAGGAUUUACCUGUCUCCUGCACCCAAUCAAUGAAACUGAUCUCCUGGUACAAAAGCCAGGAUGAUCCCAUAAGACGAGAAGACCCUGUGGAGCUUUAAACUAGUAAUUAUCCACACUAAUUAUUCAUUUUAAGUUGGGGCAACUUUGGAAAUAAAAUAACUUCCAAGAUAGCAGGCACUCGGCCCGAACUGAGGUUAACACACCAAAGCAAGCUCAUGACCCAGUAACACUGACCAACGAACCAAGUUACCCCAGGGAUAACAGCGCUAUCUUCCUCUAGAGUUCAUAUCGACAGGAAGGAUUACGACCUCGAUGUUGGAUCAGGACAUCCAAGUGGUGCAGCCGCCACUAAAGGUUCGUUUGUUCAACGAUUAAAGUCCUACGUGAUCUGAGUUCAGACCGGAGUAAUCC
rnacentral:rRNA from 1 species